UAAAGAAGUAUAUAAGCUUUCCUCAAAGAUGGGUCAUAGUAUUUGCAACGCUCUUGGAAGGACACGUCUACGUUGUGGCAAGGAGUCAGAAAGACACUGCAAGCAAAAAAAAGCAACUCUGAAAGAUGCCUUGUCAGAACAGGUAAGAUGAUGAUGAAUGUUUUCUUGAAUUUAUGUUUGAAAACUACUUGGAGUAUUAAAAAAAUAUACGGUUUUGAUUUCAGAUGUGAUGAAAGACCAGAAACGCCCUUAUUUUUGGACGAGGAAAAUGAGGAUGAAGUGAGUGACGCUGGAGUCUUCAUUGAUCCUGAUGACAGUGGUGAAUUAAUGGACGAUACGCC